rnacentral:rRNA from 1 species
GUGAUCUAAAGUUAUAUAGUAUUAUUAUUCACGAAACCGGGCGAGCUAAAUUUUUUCCUUAUUAGCAAAAUAAAAAUUACUGUUGCAAUAUUAAUUUACUAAAAGAAUUUAGGGGUGAUAGGCCUUUCAAGUCUGGUGAUAUCUUGAUUAUAAGGAAACAUAUUUAGUAUGAAUAUCAACCUAGUAAUGUUAAGGUUCUUAGGUAAUAUAAUUUUAGAAUUAUUCUUUUUCUGGUAGUAUAAAAACUGCAGCUUAUAAAUUAUUAACAUUUAAUACUAAUAAAAUAUAUAAAUUACUUAUAUAUUUAAUAAAAUUAUGAAUUAAAUUUAUUAUGAUUUCAUUAGUAUUUUAAUAGAUUUAUUUAAGGAACUCGGCAAACUUUAUUCUCGACUGUUUACCAAAAACAUGCUUUAAGAUAUUACUUAAGGUUUACCCUGCUCAAUGAAUAUAUUAAAUAGCCGCAGUACCUUGACUGUGCAAAGGUAGCAUAAUCAGUUGGCUUAUAAUUGAAGUCUAGUAUGAAUGGGAAUUUGGGAAUAAGCUGUCUUAAAAGAAAAAUUAGAACUUUCUAAUUAAGUGAAAAUUCUUAAAAAAAAGAAAAAAGACGAGAAGACCCUAGAAAUUUUUUAUAUAUAUUUAAUAUUAUAUUUUGUUGGGGCGACAUGGUAACAAGUUAACUUACCAAACAUAUAAGAAACUAUUUAGUUGAAUAAUACAAAUUACUCUAGGGAUAACAGCAUAAUGUAUUAUAAGAUUGUGACCUCGAUGGUGGACUAGGAAAUAAUUUACCUAAAAGGUAAAUUAGUGAGCUCUGUUCGAGCUAGAAUACCUACAUGAUCUGAGUUCAGACCGG